rnacentral:rRNA from 1 species
GUGAACCUGCGGAGGGAUCAUUACUGAGUUACCGCUCUACAACCCUUUGUGAACAUACCUAACCGUUGCUUCGGCGGGCAGGGGAAGCCUCUCGCGGGCUGACCCUCCCGGCGCCGGCCCCGAUCACGGGGGCGGAGCGCCCGCCGGAGGAAACCAAACUCUAUUUACACGACGUCUCUUCUGAGUGGCACAAGCAAAUAAUUAAAACUUUUAACAACGGAUCUCUUGGUUCUGGCAUCGAUGAAGAACGCAGCGAAAUGCGAUAAGUAAUGUGAAUUGCAGAAUUCAGUGAAUCAUCGAAUCUUUGAACGCACAUUGCGCUCGCCAGCAUUCUGGCGAGCAUGCCUGUUCGAGCGUCAUUUCAACCCUCAAGCACCGCUUGGUUUUGGGGCCCCACGGCCGACGUGGGCCCUUAAAGGUAGUGGCGGACCCUCCCGGAGCCUCCUUUGCGUAGUAACUAACGUCUCGCACUGGGAUCCGGAGGGACUCUUGCCGUUAAACCCCCAAAUUUUUUCAGGUUGACCUCGGAUCAGGUAGGACUACCCGCUGAACUUAAGCAUAUCAAUA